UAGGGAAUCUUCGGCAAUGGGGGCAACCCUGACCGAGCAACGCCGCGUGAGUGAAGAAGGUUUUCGGAUCGUAAAGCUCUGUUGUAAGUCAAGAACGGGUGUGAGAGUGGAAAGUUCACACUGUGACGGUAGCUUACCAGAAAGGGACGGCUAACUACGUGCCAGCAGCCGCGGUAAUACGUAGGUCCCGAGCGUUGUCCGGAUUUAUUGGGCGUAAAGCGAGCGCAGGCGGUUUGAUAAGUCCGAAGUUAAAGGCUGUGGCUCAACCAUAGUUCGCUUUGGAAACUGUCAAACUUGAGUGCAGAAGGGGAGAGUGGAAUUCCAUGUGUAGCGGUGAAAUGCGUAGAUAUAUGGAGGAACACCGGUGGCGAAAGCGGCUCUCUGGUCUGUAACUGACGCUGAGGCUCGAAAGCGUGGGGAGCGAACAGGAUUAGAUACCCUGGUAGUCCACGCCGUAAACGAUGAGUGCUAGGUGUUGGAUCCUUUCCGGGAUUCAGUGCCGCAGCUAACGCAUUAAGCACUCCGCCUGGGGGAGUACGACCGCAAGG
rnacentral:rRNA from 1 species